rnacentral:rRNA from 1 species
AGAGUUUGAUCAUGGCUCAGAACGAACGCUGGCGGAAUGCUUUACACAUGCAAGUCGAACGAGUACUUUUUACGAGUGGCGAACGGGUGAGUAACGCGUGGGAACCUACCUUGAGGUAAAGAAUAACUACAGGAAACUGUAGCUAAUACUUUAUGUGCUCUACGGGGGAAAAAUUUAUUGCCUUUUGAGGGGCCCGCGUCAGAUUAGCUUGUUGGUGAGGUAAUGGCUUACCAAGGCAAUGAUCUGUAGCUGGUUUGAGAGGAUGAUCAGCCACAUUGGGACUGAGACACGGCCCAGACUCCUACGGGAGGCAGCAGUGGGGAAUCUUGGACAAUGGGGGAAACCCUGAUCCAGCAAUUCCGCGUGAAUGAUGAAGGCCUUAGGGUUGUAAAGUUCUUUUAGUAAGGAAGAUGAUGACGGUACUUACAGAAAAAGCUCCGGCUAACUCCGUGCCAGCAGCCGCGGUAAUACGGAGGGGGCAAGCGUUGUUCGGAAUUACUGGGCGUAAAGAGCGAGCAGGUGGUUCAUUAAGUCAAUUGUGAAAGCUCAAGGCUUAACCUUGAAAUUGCUUUUGAUACUGAUGAACUAGAGUUUGGGAGAGGAUAGUGGAAUUCUAAGUGUAGAAGUGAAAUUCGUAGAUAUUUAGAGGAACACCGAUAGCGAAGGCAACUAUCUGGCCCUUUACUGACACUCAGAAGCGAAAGCUUGGGUAGCAAACAGGAUUAGAUACCCUGGUAGUCCAUGCUGUAAACGAUGAGUGCUAGAUGUUAGAAGUUUACUUCUAGUAUCGAAGCUAACGCGUUAAGCACUCCGCCUGGGGAGUACGGCCGCAAGGCUAAAACUCAAAUGAAUUGACGGGGACCCGCACAAGCAGUGGAGCAUGUGGUUUAAUUCGACGCUACGCGAAGAACCUUACCAGCUCUUGACAUGCUAGGUUUUGGAUUUAAGAGAUUAAAUCCUUCAGUUCGGCUGGGCUUAGUACAGGUGCUGCAUGGCUGUCGUCAGCUCGUGUCGUGAGAUGUUCGGUUAAGUCCGGCAACGAGCGCAACCCUCAUCUUCAGUUACUAACAGGUUAAGCUGAGGACUCUGGAGAAACUGCCGUUGGAAAAGCGGAGGAAGGCGAGGAUGACGUCAAGUCCUCAUGGCCCUUAUGGGCUGGGCUACACACGUGCUACAAUGGUAAUUACAAUAGGUCGCGAAAUGGCAACAUUGAGCUAAUCCUUAAAAAUUAUCUUAGUUCAGAUUGUUCUCUGCAACUCGAGAGCAUGAAGUUGGAAUUGCUAGUAAUCGUGGAUCAGCAUGCCACGGUGAAUACGUUCCCGGGUCUUGUACACACCGCCCGUCACACCAUGGGAGUUGGUUUUACCUGAAGCCGAUUUUUAAUCGUCCACGGUAAGGUCAGCGACUGGGGUGAAGUCGUAACAAGGUAGCCGUAGGGGAACCUGCGGCUG